rfam:Marivirga tractuosa DSM 4126, complete genome.
GAUUUAUAUAGAUGAGGUGAGAGAACAGGCUCGUUGACCCUCUGGCAACCCCCAAGCAAUUUGGAAAGGUGCCAAUUCCUGCCCAAUGAAGGGAAAUAUAAAAC